ACUGCCAUUGAUACUAUUUAUCUUGAAUAUUGUGGAGGUAAGCGGAAUAUGUCAUGUAGCGGUGAAAUGCUUAGAUAUGACAUAGAACACCCAUUGCGAAGGCAGCUUACUACGCAUAUACUGACGCUGAGGCACGAAAGCGUGGGGAUCAAACAGGAUUAGAUACCCUGGUAGUCCACGCCCUAAACGAUGGAUACUCGACAUACGCGAUACACUGUGUGUGUCUGAGCGAAAGCAUUAAGUAUCCCACCUGGGAAGUACGUUCGCAAGAAUGAAACUCAAAGGAAUUGGCGGGGGUCCGCACAAGCGGUGGAGUAUGUGGUUUAAUUCGAUGAUACGCGAGGAACCUUACCUGGGCUAGAAUGCUGGGAGACCGCUAGUGAAAGCUAGUUUUGUAGCAAUACACUGCCAGUAAGGUGCUGCAUGGCCGUCGUCAGCUCGUGCCGUGAGGUGUUGGGUUAAGUCCCGCAACGAGCGCAACCCCUAUCUUUAGUUGCCAACAGGUAAUGCUGGGAACUCUAAAGAAACUGCCGCCGUAAGGUGUGAGGAAGGAGGGGAUGAUGUCGGGUCAUCAUGGCCUUUAUGCCCAGGGCUACACACGUACUACAAUGGGGAAGACAAAGGGCUGCAACAUAGCGAUAUGAAGCCAAUCCCAAAAACUUCCUCUCAGUUCAGAUUGCAGGCUGCAACUCGCCUGCAUGAAGCUGGAAUCGCUAGUAAUCGUAUAUCAGCAAUGAUACGGUGAAUACGUUCCCGGACCUUGCACACACCGCCCGUCAAGCCAUGGGAGUCGGGUGUACCUAAAGUCGGUAACCGUAAG
rnacentral:rRNA from 1 species